rnacentral:rRNA from 1 species
GGAGGAAAAGAAACUAACUAGGAUUCCCUCAGUAGCUGCGAGCGAACAGGGAAGAGCCCAGCACCGAAUCCCGCGGCCGAUACCGGGCGCCGGGAAAUGUGGUGUUAGGGAGGGUCCAUUAUCCCGAGAUCAUGCGAUGCGUCCAAGUCCUUCUUGAACGGGGCCACAGCCCAUAGAGGGUGCCAGGCCCGUAGUGACUGCUGCUGAUCGCGGGAGGAUCUCUCCUCAGAGUCGGGUUGCUUGAGAGUGCAGCCCUAAGUGGGUGGUAAACUCCAUCUAAGGCUAAAUAUGACCACGAGACCGAUAGCGAACAAGUACCGUGAGGGAAAGUUGAAAAGCACUUUGAAGAGAGAGUUCAAGAGUACGUGAAACCGUUUAGGGGUAAACCUGAGAAACCCGAAAGGUCGAAGGGAGAAAUUCAUUCGCGUUUCGCCGUCGGCGUGAGACGGUCGUGUGACGGGAGGCGUUCGCGUUUCCCGCUCCUUCCGUUUUUCGAUCCGAUAGCGAACGCGUGCACUUUUCUCCUGGUAGGACGUCGCGAUCCGUUGGGUGUCGGUCUACGGCUCGCGGUGGAGCCCGGAUGUUUUUCGGAACGUUCGGACCCGCGUGUCCCGGCUGACUCGCUCGACGGUAUACAAAAGGUUAAAGGCCGCUUUUAAAGCGUUCGGCUCGUAGCAAGCGCGUCAGAUGUGUCGGCGAUCGGACCUGGUGCCGGUUCUGACCUCUGGCGACUGUUGGCCGCGAAGUUCUCGGACAGACCUUAGACCGAUCUGCGACGCUAUAGCUUUGGGUACUUUCAGGACCCGUCUUGAAACACGGACCAAGGAGUCUAGCAUGUGCGCGAGUCAUUGGGAAUCAUUAAACCUAAAGGCGCAAUGAAAGUAAAAGUCCUCCUCGCGCGGACUUAGGGAGGACGGGCGGUUUACCCUUAAAAGUGGCCGCCCCGCACUCCCGGGGCGUCUCGUUUCUCAUCGCGAGAAGAGGCGCAUCAAGAGCGUACACGCUGGGA